rnacentral:rRNA from 1 species
UACGUAGGGGGCUAGCGUUGUCCGGAAUCAUUGGGCGUAAAGCGCGCGUAGGCGGCCCAGUAAGUCCGUUGUGAAAGUCAAAGGCUCAACCUUUGAAAGCCGAUGGAUACUGCCGGGCUGGAGUCCGGAAGAGGCGAGUGGAAUUCCUGGUGUAGCGGUGGAAUGCGCAGAUAUCAGGAGGAACACCAAUAGCGAAGGCAGCUCGCUGGGACGGUACUGACGCUGAGGCGCGAAAGCGUGGGGAGCGAACAGG